UACGUAGGGUGCAAGCGUUGUCCGGAAUUAUUGGGCGUAAAGAGCUCGUAGGCGGUCUGUUGCGUCGGCUGUGAAAACCCGGGGCUCAACUCCGGGCCUGCAGCCGAUACGGGCAGACUAGAGUUCGGCAGGGGAGACUGGAAUUCCCGGUGUAGCGGUGAAAUGCGCAGAUAUCGGGAGGAACACCGGUGGCGAAGGCGGCUCACUGGACCGGUACUGACGCUGAUGCGCGAAAGCGUGGGGAGCAAACGGG
rnacentral:rRNA from 1 species